GACGUAGGGGCGCGAGCGUUGUCCGGAUUUAUUGGGCGUAAAGAGCUCGUAGGCGGCUUGUCGCGUCGUCCGUGAAAACUUGGGGCUCAACCCCAAGCUUGCGGUCGAUACGGGCAGGCUAGAGUUCGGUAGGGGAGACUGGAAUUCCUGGUGUAGCGGUGAAAUGCGCAGAUAUCAGGAGGAACACCAAUGGCGAAGGCAGCUCGCUGGGACGGUACUGACGCUGAGGAGCGAAAGCGUGGGGAGCAAACAGG
rnacentral:rRNA from 1 species